rnacentral:rRNA from 1 species
ACUAACCAGGAUUCCCUUAGUAACGGCGAGUGAACAGGGAUUAGCCCAGCAUCGAAGCCUAUGGUCUUUUGAUCGUAAGGCAAUGUGAUGUUAUGGAUAGUGCCUGGGACUGCGGAUUGACUUGAAGUCCAAUAAUGAGAAUGGCUUAAAUAAAUUUCCAAAGAGGGUGAUAGGCCCGUUCAAGUUGAUCUUUUGCAGUCUCCAGAUGCAUUAUCCAUGGAGUCGGAUUGCUUGUGAGUGCAGUCCAAAGUUGGUGGUAAACUCCAUCAAAGGCUAAAUACUGGCACGAGUCCGAUAGCAAACAAGUACCGUGAGGGAAAGUUGAAAAGUACUCUGAAGAGAGAGUAAACAGUACGUGAAACCACAUGGAGGUAAACAGGUGGAGUCCAGCUGCGU